UUUCCAUGAUGAAAACUUUGUCCAGUUCUGCUACUGAAUGCUGGUGGUGAUAACAACGACACCUGAGAAA